rnacentral:rRNA from 1 species
GACGAACGCUGGCGGCGUGCUUAACACAUGCAAGUCGAACGGAAAGGCCCUGCUUUUGUGGGGUGCUCGAGUGGCGAACGGGUGAGUAACACGUGAGUAACCUGCCCUUGACUUUGGGAUAACUUCAGGAAACUGGGGCUAAUACCGGAUAGGAGCUCCUGCUGCAUGGUGGGGGUUGGAAAGUUUCGGCGGUUGGGGAUGGACUCGCGGCUUAUCAGCUUGUUGGUGGGGUAGUGGCUUACCAAGGCUUUGACGGGUAGCCGGCCUGAGAGGGUGACCGGUCGAACGGGAGCUGAGACACGGUCCAGACGCCUGAGGGAGGCAGCAGUGGGGAAUAGUGGACAAUGGGCGAAAGCCUGAUCCAGCCAUGCCGCGUGUGUGAAGAAGGUCUUCGGAUUGUAAAGCACUUUAAGUUGGGAGGAAGGGCAGUAAGUUAAUACCUUGCUGUUUUGACGUUACCAACAGAAUAAGCACAGGCUAACUUCGUG